AGCAACCUACGGGGGGCAGCAGUGAGGAAUAUUGGUCAAUGGGCGGAAGCCUGAACCAGCCAAGUCGCGUGAGGGAAUAAGGCCCUACGGGUCGUAAACCUCUUUUGCCGGGGAGCAAGGGCCGGGACGCGUCCCGGCCCGGAGAGUACCCGGAGAAAAAGCAUCGGCUAACUCCGUGCCAGCAGCCGCGGUAAUACGGAGGAUGCGAGCGUUAUCCGGAUUUAUUGGGUUUAACGGGUGCGUAGGCGGGCUUUUAAGUCAG
rnacentral:rRNA from 1 species